rnacentral:rRNA from 1 species
AUACGGAGAGUGCAAGCGUUGUUCGGAAUUACUGGGCGUAAAGAGCAUGUAGGCGGUCUGUUAAGUCUGGUGUGAAAGCCCGGGGCUCAACCCCGGAAGUGCAUUGGAUACUGGCAGACUUGAGUAUGGGAGAGGAAAGCGGAAUUCCGAGUGUAGGAGUGAAAUCCGUAGAUAUUCGGAGGAACACCAGUGGCGAAGGCGGCUUUCUGGACCAAUACUGACGCUGAGAUGCGAAGGCGUGGGGAGCGAACAGGAUUAGAAACCCUAGUAGUCC